rnacentral:lncRNA from 1 species
AACAGUAACAGCAAAUAUUUAUUGAGCACUUAUCAUAGGAGCCAGGCCCUGUUGCCAGCCGUUUAAAAAACAUUUAUAUUAUUUUAUUUUCACAGCAAUAGGAUGAGGUAGGUAUUAGUGCAAACAUAUUCUCUUCGCAAAGACGAGGAAACCGAAGUACCUGGCGGUUGAUUACUUAAGACCCCAGACGUCCAUCGCCCUAUUCUACUCCACGGGAUCAGUGCCCUAGAGCUACUCCAGACCUUAUCUUCUCAAAUAUCCUGAUGUGUUCUGGAUCAACACCACUGAUGAUAGAAGCAUCACACAGUGUCAUGUAAACCCCAAGACCAGAGAAUUUUGCCAGGACAUAAAACAACAGAAUUUCAGAUCUAUAAGGUA